rnacentral:rRNA from 1 species
UACGUAGGGUGCAAGCGUUAAUCGGAAUUACUGGGCGUAAAGCGUGCGCAGGCGGUAAUGUAAGACAGGUGUGAAAUCCCCCGGGCUUAACCUGGGAACUGCAUUUGUGACUGCAUAGCUAGAGUACGGUAGAGGGGGAUGGAAUUCCGCGUGUAGCAGUGAAAUGCGUAGAUAUGCGGAGGAACACCGAUGGCGAAGGCAAUCCCCCUGGACCUGUACUGACGCUCAUGCACGAAAGCGUGGGGAGCAAACAGG